AGUGAACGCUGGCGGCAGGCCUAAUACAUGCAAGUCGAACGGCAGCACAGCAGAGCUUGCUCUGUGGGUGGCGAGUGGCGGACGGGUGAGGAAUACAUGGGAAUCUGCCCAGUCGUGGGGGAUAACGUAGGGAAACUUACGCUAAUACCGCAUGCGCCCUUCGGGGGAAAGCCGGGGACCUUCGGGCCUGGCGCGAUUGGAUGAGCCCAUGUCGGAUUAGCUAGUUGGCGGGGUAACGGCCCACCAAGGCGACGAUCCGUAGCUGGUCUGAGAGGAUGAUCAGCCACACUGGAACUGAGACACGGUCCAGACUCCUACGGGAGGCAGCAGUAGGGAAUAUUGGACAAUGGGCGCAAGCCUGAUCCAGCCAUGCCGCGUGAGUGAAGAAGGCCUUCGGGUUGUAAAGCUCUUUUGUCCGGAAAGAAAAGCAUCCAGUUAAUACCUGGGUGUCCUGACGGUACCGGAAGAAUAAGCACCGGCUAACUUCGUGCCGGCAGCCGCCGUAAAAC
rnacentral:rRNA from 1 species